GCCGGCAUGGUGAAAUUGGUAGACACGAUAGACUCAAAAUCUAUUGGGAGCAAUCCUGUCCCGGUUCGAGUCCGGGUGCCGGCA
rnacentral:tRNA from 3 species